rnacentral:rRNA from 1 species
AUUGAACGCUGGCGGCAGGCCUAACACAUGCAAGUCGAACGAGUGGCGGACGGGUGAGUAAUGUCUGGGAAAAUGCCUGAUGGAGGGGGAUAACUACUGGAAACGGUAGCUAAUACCGCAUACCAUCAGAUGUGCCCAGAUGGGCGUGGCUAGUUGGGGGGGUAACGGCUCACAAAGGCGACGAUCCCUAACUGGUCUGAGAGGGUGACCAGCCAAAUUGGAACUGAGACACGGUCCAGACUCCGACGGGAGGCAGCAGUGGGGAAUAUGGCACAAUGGGCGAAAGCCUGAUGCAGCCAUGCCGGGUGUAUGAAGAAGGCCUUCGGGUGGUAAAGUACUUUCAGCGGGGAGGCGUUACCCGCAGAAGAAGCACCGGCUAACUCCGUGCCAGCCGCCGCGGUAAUUC